rnacentral:rRNA from 1 species
CAGUAGCCGCGGGAAUACGUAGGGUGCAAGCGUUAAUCGGAAUUACUGGGCGUAAAGCGUGCGCAGGCGGUUUUGUAAGUCUGUCAUGAAAUCCCCGUGCUCAACCUGGGAAUGGCGAUGGAGACUGCAAGGCUAGAAUCUGGCAGAGGGGGGUAGAAUUCCACGUGUAGCAGUGAAAUGCGUAGAUAUGUGGAGGAACACCGAUGGCGAAGGCAGCCCCCUGGGCUAAGAUUGACGCUCAUGCACGAAAGCGUGGGGAGCAAACAGGAUUAGAGACCCCCGUAGUCCCUGUCUCUUAUAC